GAGACUGGAACAGCUGCGGCGGCCGCACCAAGAAGCGCCACGUCUCAGCCCGCCGAGGCGGCCCAGUCCCUGCACUCCUGGCGCUCGUGUCUACUUCGCUCGCUCCUCACCUCUUCCAGCCUUCCCUCGGCACCUCGCCUCUUCUGCCCCGCGCCCUGCUGUCCUGAGGCUGCAGGCGGCUCCAGCUGCCCCCAAUAGCCGGUUGGGCGGCGCGCGGGGAAUUGUCGCGUCGGCUGCGAGUGCGGGGCCCCAACUGCUGUCCGGCUGCCUCAAAUCCUCCGGUUGAAGCCGAUUGCCGCCGCGACGCUUCUGCGGCCGGCGCAGCGAGGUGGGUGCGGUCUGACCUCACACCCACGCGGGGCCCGGAGCCGCGCUCCCCGCCGCCCCACCCCAAGCUGCGUCGGCAAACUUCGACUUCGUGCGCCCAGCCCGGGAUCACGUAGACCAAGUUUGGACCAGGCAGUCGCACCUGGGAAUCUCGGGCUGGUGGGAGCGCUGAGCCUUCGCAGCUACCGGGACACAGAGAGUGAAGGUGGAGGGCCGGGAGGGCCCGGCGGCGGACCUCGCAGCGCCAGCUCCAGCGGCUCCCGUGGAGACAGGGCGAGGUGGCACCCGGGUUGGGGUCAGGGGACCCUUGGGCGGUGCCUAUCGCAGGACCUGGGGCGCUGAAGAUUGGUUAGGGCGCCUAUGAGGGGAUCCCCAAAGUUCAGAGGGAGUCUGCUGGAUGCCUGCAGGGACGGAGAACCGACAGCGGGCUCAGCAGAAGCUGGAAACCUAGUACAAGCCGCCGAUGCCAGGAGGAAUUGAGUCCUCGCCGCCCCAGGAGCCACUGAAGGUUGCUGGCGAGCCACUGAGGCACAGAGCAGAGGGCACUCCGGCGGUGCCAGUGCGUACUGACGCCCAGGGCCUCUUGGUGUCCCUUGUGGUGUUGGUCACCGCUGCCCAGGUUGAGGUUUGGGACCUCAGAGCCGCCCUGGUACAGACCUCAGGCUUCCCUAGAGGCAGCGAGGAAGGCCCUGGCGGCAGCCUCUUCUACAAUGUCACGGUCUAUGGUGGAGACCUGCACCUGUGGCUGUGGACCAAUGCCCGAGUCACGGUGCCAGGGACCAUAGUGGAGUGACAGAAUGAGUCCCCUGUGGAACCCCUGCUUGGGACCUGACUCUAAUUCAGAGACUUGGCCAGCCUGACUGAAGCCCCCUCCUUUGUGCUCAGCAACUGCAGAGGCUGAAUGAAACAAGGCGUGGGAACCACUGUCGAGGUGCUCAAGUCUCUCACCUCCAGCACAGUCAUCAGCCCAGAGACCAUCCUGUUGACAAAGGCGAGCGAGGCUGCUGGGCACUGAGCCAAUGCCGAGGAAGCUUGGAGAGGCCUGUGCCGGCCCAGCUGCUGAUACCUUCUGCUCCUGAACUCUGCAUGGCUGCAGCCAGAAUGGGCUAUCACAGCAGCCCAGGGAAGCCCUCGCAGAGAGCCAGAAGGCCCCGAGUGUGACAUCCACCCCCUUUUCACCCCAAAGGAGCUGGAGGAGGCACAGGCCAUCCCGAGGUGUGCGAGCCCAGCCAGCUGUCAAAGCAGGUGUAUCGGUGCUGGACCGAGCCAUCCAGCCAGGCAGGCCAGGGACGGACCAGGACCCACGCGUCUC